rnacentral:misc_RNA from 1 species
GAUGAAGAACGUAGCGAAAUGCGAUAAGUAGUGUGAAUUGCAGAAUUCAGUGAAUCAUCGAAUCUUUGAACGCACAUUGCGCCCCUUGGUAUCCCGAGGGGCAUGCCUGUUCGAGCGUCAUUUCACCACUCAAGCCUGGCUUGGUGUUGGGCGACGUCCCCUUUGGGGACGCGCCUCGAAACGCUCGGCGGCGUGGCACCGGCUUUAAGCGUAGCAGAAUCUUUCGCUUUGGAAGUCGGGGCCCCGUCUGCCGGAAGACCUACUCGCAAGGUUGACCUCGGAUCAGGUAGGGUUACCCGCUGAACUUAAGCAUAUCAAUAAGCGGAGGA